AACGCACAUUGCGCCCGCCAGUAUUCUGGCGGGCAUGCCUGUUCGAGCGUCAUUACAACCCUCAGGCCCCCGGGCCUGGCGUUGGGGAUCGGCAGAAGCCCCCUGUGGGCACACGCCGUCCCUCAAAUACAGUGGCGGUCCCGCCGCAGCUUCCAUUGCGUAGUAGCUAACACCUCGCAACUGGAGAGCGGCGCGGCCAUGCCGUAAAACACCCAACUUCUGAAUGUUGACCUCGAAUCAGGUAGGAAUACCCGCUGAACUUAA
rnacentral:misc_RNA from 2 species